rnacentral:rRNA from 1 species
CACGCCGUAAACGAUGUCGACUUGGAGGUUGUGCCCUUGAGGUGUGGCUUCCGGAGCUAACGCGUUAAGUCGACCGCCUGGGGAGUACGGCCGCAAGGUUAAAACUCAAAUGAAUUGACGGGGGCCCGCACAAGCGGUGGAGCAUGUGGUUUAAUUCGAUGCAACGCGAAGAACCUUACCUGGUCUUGACAUCCACGGAAGUUUUCAGAGAUGAGAAUGUGCCUUCGGGAACCGUGAGACAGGUGCUGCAUGGCUGUCGUCAGCUCGUGUUGUGAAAUGUUGGGUUAAGUCCCGCAACGAGCGCAACCCUUAUCCUUUGUUGCCAGCGGUCCGGCCGGGAACUCAAAGGAGACUGCCAGUGAUAAACUGGAGGAAGGUGGGGAUGACGUCAAGUCAUCAUGGCCCUUACGACCAGGGCUACACACGUGCUACAAUGGCGCAUACAAAGAGAAGCGACCUCGCGAGAGCAAGCGGACCUCAUAAAGUGCGUCGUAGUCCGGAUUGGAGUCUGCAACUCGACUCCAUGAAGUCGGAAUCGCUAGUAAUCGUGGAUCAGAAUGCCACGGUGAAUACGUUCCCGGGCCUUGUACACACCGCCCGUCACACCAUGGGAGUGGGUUGCAAAAGAAGUAGGUAGCUUAACCUUCGGGAGGGCGCUUACCACUUUGUGAUUCAUGACUGGGGUGAAGUCGUAACAAGGUAACCGUAGGGGAACCUGCGGUUGGAUCACCUCCUUACCUUAAAGAAGC